ACUCAAAUGAAUAGACGGGGGCUCACACAAGCGGUGGAGCAUGUGGCUUAAUUCGAGGCUACGCGCAAAACCUUAUCCCGGGCUUGACAUGCACGGAUUAGCCGGCGGAAACGCCGGCGACGCCGCGAGGUGGAACGUGCACAGGUGCUGCAUGGCUGUCGUCAGCUCGUGUCGCGAGAUGUUGGGUUCAGUCCCGUAACGAGCGAAACCCCUGUGACUAGUUGCCAGCACCUCGGGUGGGCACUCUAGUCAGACCGCCGGCGUCAAGCCGGAGGAAGGCGGGGAUGACGUCAAGUCCUCAUGGCCCUUAUGCCCGGGGCGGCACACGUGCUACAAUGGGCCGGACAGAGCGUCGCAAUGCCGCAAGGCCGAGCCAAUCGCAAAAACCGGCCCCCAGUUCGGAUUGCGGGCUGCAACCCGCCCGCAUGAAGCCGGAAUCGCUAGUAAUCGCGGAUCAGCACUGCCGCGGUGAAUGGGUUCCUGAGCCUUGUACACACCGCCCGU
rnacentral:rRNA from 1 species